ACGUAGGGUGCAAGCGUUGUCCGGAAUUAUUGGGCGUAAAGAGCUCGUAGGCGGUUCGUCGCGUCGGCUGUGAAAUCCCGAGGCUCAACCUCGGGUCUGCAGUCGAUACGGGCGGACUGGAGUUCGGCAGGGGAGACUGGAAUUCCUGGUGUAGCGGUGAAAUGCGCAGAUAUCAGGAGGAACACCGGUGGCGAAGGCGGGUCUCUGGGCCGAUACUGACGCUGAGGAGCGAAAGCGUGGGGAGCGAACAGGA
rnacentral:rRNA from 1 species